UAAACCAAACAAAAAAAGAGAAAGCCAGAUAAAAAAAAAUAACAAGAGCGAGGAAAACGAAAAUUAAAAAGAAAGGCUCCCCCUUCCACGAACAAACACUUGCACCUCCUCGUCCCCACCUCCGUCCUCGUCGAUCCCAUCCACCCCCAGCGCUCCUCCUCGCCGGCGGGCUUGCUGGGUCUCGCGAUCGUCCUCCUCCUCGGCUGUGCCUUCUGGGGCGGCGGCGGCAGGAAUUAGGUAAGUGGAGGCAAGGGAAGGGGAGGUUUGAGGUAGAGCGGAGCCGCAGCGGCGAUGCCGUCGCACGCGGAUCUGGACCACCAGAUCUCGCAGCUGCGGGAUUGCAAGUUCCUGCCGGAGGUGGAGGUCAAGACGCUAUGCGAGAAGGCAAAGGCGAUCCUCAUGGAGGAGUGGAACGUACAGCCCGUGCGCUGCCCCGUCACUGUGUGCGGCGACAUCCACGGCCAGUUCUACGACCUCAUCGAGCUCUUCCGCAUCGGCGGCGAUGCGCCAGACACCAACUACCUCUUUAUGGGCGAUUACGUCGACCGUGGCUACUACUCUGUGGAGACUGUGUCGUUGUUAGUGGCUCUAAAAGUACGUUAUAGAGACAGAAUCACAAUAUUGAGAGGAAAUCAUGAGAGCAGACAAAUAACUCAAGUGUAUGGCUUCUAUGAUGAAUGCUUGCGGAAAUAUGGAAAUGCAAAUGUGUGGAAGUACUUUACAGACUUGUUUGAUUAUUUGCCUCUCACAGCUCUUAUAGAAAACCAGAUCUUCUGCCUACAUGGUGGUCUCUCUCCAUCACUGGAUACAUUGGAUAAUAUCCGCGCCCUUGAUCGCAUACAAGAGGUCCCACAUGAAGGACCUAUGUGUGAUCUUUUGUGGUCUGACCCAGAUGACCGAUGUGGGUGGGGAAUUUCACCAAGGGGUGCUGGAUACACAUUUGGCCAAGAUAUUGCACAACAAUUCAACCAUACAAAUGGGCUAAGUCUUAUUUCAAGGGCACAUCAACUUGUAAUGGAAGGCUUCAAUUGGUGUCAGAAGUUUCUGAGGAUUCUAAUUAUCAACAAGAAUUUCUGGUGCUAUACAUAGGGAACACUGGUCCUAAUACAGCAAUACUCCAUCCAUUUGUAAUAUAUGAUGUUUUGGAUAUUAACACAGUCCCUACAAUGCAUCUUCCACAUACUUUUAAAAUUAAAAUGAUAUUUUAAAAAUUAAGUUAUUUUUCAUGAUAAAAUCCAACGGUACAAUUUCCACACAAUAAAUCCAGUUAGUUCAGUUUUAUUUGAAUGGUGUUCUGCUUUUUCCUAAAAUGAAACUUGAUGCCCUUACAGAGGGUAAACAUUUUAUUUUCACCUAUUUUUCUCCAACUGUCUAUAAGGCUAUCUCCAGCAUCUCUCCUAUCUCUUUCCUUAUCACACAUCCUUUUUUCAAACUCAACUCUGUAAACAGUGUUAUCUAAAAAACAAUGUUUUGCACGAGCAUAUGCAUGAUCGACUGGACAUAUCCUAACUGAUUAACGUGCAGUCUGGUGCCAGACCAUUACAGACCUGGUAUUACUUUCCACAGUAGUCAGGAAGCUGCUUCCACCUGACUUUACUAGAGCUGCCUUUGUCAUGGAAAUGAUUCAUUGUGUUGGGAGCAUAGUCACAAUGUUCCCUUGUCGAUUGGAUCGAGGAAUGGGGUCGCGGGUCGACACUUGAAAAAAAUGGUACAAGGGGGUAUAUCUCUAUGAGCUAUGUUACCCUGACACGGGGAUAUGGAUACGCGAUACAUCGAUACCCCGAUACGCCAUUUCUCAAAAAACACUGACACAACAAUACAUAAAUAUAUAUUAUAAAUAAAAAUAAAUAGCAGGAUUAUUAGAGAUGUGAAAACUACCUUCGCUGCCACUGGCCUCAGUAGAUGCAGAAGCAGAAGCAUUUGAACUCGCUGGUCGCUGCCAUGGGAUCUAACAAGACCGGAGUUGUAGCAGUCAACAGAUUGAGAAGAAAGAAGUGAAUAUAAGAACACAAACCUGCAUAUUGAUUUGUGGCAAAGGUGUGCAGGCAGCCGCAAGACACACUGGCGUCGACCUGUGGAUCGAUGGGCGGCACUGCGACACGGAUCAGCAACAACAGCUACAAACCCACAAUCUAUUGGCGGCGGCUACAGACCCACCAAUCAUCGGGCGACAACUCCAAUCGGCGACUGAUGACCACAAAUCAACGGCGCCAGCGGCCACGAGCCCACGGCUCGUCGGGCGGUGGCUCCAAUCAACGAAUGACGGCCACAGACCUCGCUGCGGCGGUUCCAAUCGGCGGCUGGCAGGCUGAUGGCCACAGACCUUGCUGCGUGCCGGCGACUGGCAGGUUGACGGUCACAGACCUCGCGGCGCGCCGACAGCUGCUCCUAUCGGCGACUGACGAGUGAAGGCGGCGGCGGCCACAGACCGGCGAACUGCAGCGGAGGUGGCCACAGACUAGCGAACUGCGGCGGAGGCGGCCACAGACCAGCGAAUUGCGACGGCUGGGGACGCGCAAGAGGAGGCAGAGAGGCGGCUUUGGGCAGUGGCUGUGCGAUACAGGAGCACGAGUGUAUACUACGAACUAGGGUUGGGACGUAUCUCAGGUAUCGGAGAGGUAUCCCUGGAGUAUCCGUAUUUUUAUUUAUUUAAAUCUGCAGAAAUAUCCGAUAUGUAUCCGGAAGUAUCCGAGGGGUAUCCGUAUCCGAUAUGGUAUCCGACACCGGUACAUGAGUUUUGUGAAGUAUCUGCGCAUCAUAGUCUAUGAGACAUGAAUCGUGAAUUUGGUAUGUGAACCCGAGUCUAAUGGGCCGAGGGUCAUGUUCCAAAAUCCCAAGGACCCUAUGUGCUAUGCCCGCGUCCUAGCCUAAUACCAGCUUAACACAACAUAACACCAGCCCAAUACCAACCCAUUAUAGCAAUGAAACCCAUAGAGCUCACGAGGCAGAAGCGCUGCCACCCAUCUAAGGCCUAUGUAACCUGCAGGCGGAGCGCCAAUGUAGGAAGCCAUAGCGCCACCUCUUGCUGGCCACGGGAGGAUUCCCAUCCUCACCACCAUACACAUCGCCUUGCCAUCAUCUGCGUCGCUUUGCCCUAAUCCACGCCGCCCUACCCCAACCUGCUCGAUCCUCCUCCGUCACGAAUAGCACCGGUCGUCGUUCCCAUCUACACCAGUACAACGACUUCCUCGCGUUCAGGAUGAUGACCCAUGGUGACCCCGACCCACAAUUUGGGACGAUGACCUUGGGUCACGGAACACAACAUCGACCCCGUUUCCUGUGGCCUAUGGUUGGGAGGGUGUUGACAAGUUUUUGGGGGCAUGUGAUGCCAACUAGUAGGAGAAUCUUUUAAGGUGCCCCUAUGUAGAGGAAAGGAGGAACCUUUGAUUAGGGCUGGAAAAAAAACUCGAGCUCGACGAGCCGACUUGGGCUCGCGAUGGCUCGGUUCGACUCGGAGCAUCUCGAUGUUUAGAACGAGCCCGAGCCGAGCCGAGCCCGAUUUUCUGGCUCGAGAAAAGAGUGAGCCAGCUUGGCUUAUUGCGGCUUGCGAGCUGGCUCGUGGCUCGACCCAACAACAAUUUGUUACAUAAAAUUCUAAUUAGUAUAUAUUGUUGGUACUAAAUAGAUGAUUAGUUUAUGUUUCUUGAGAUAACUGUACAAAAUUAACCUAUUUUCUAUAUUAUAUUAGUAAUAUAUUUAUUUUACUAAUAAAAAAAAUAAGUUACUUAAAUUGUUUUUGAGAUUUUAUAUUAUAUUUUGGAGAGUGGCGAAAGGGCCUCUAGUUGAGUUGGUUAGGUGGUCUGAGUAGCACUCCUCAGGUCCUGGGUUCGACUCCCCGUGGGAGCAAAUUUCAGGCUGUGGUUAAAAAAAUCCCCUCGUAUGUCCCACGCCAAAGCACAGGUCUAAGGCUCAGCCCCGGUCGCAGUUGUUCUCACAUGGGCUUCGAUGCCGCUGUGUAUGGGUGGGGCAGGGGUUCGGGGGUUUUCUCGACCUGUGUGAGAAUGUCUUCUUCUUAAUACAAUGCCCGGGGGCUGUCUUACCCCCCGCAGGUCGAGUUUUUUUUUAUUUUGGAGAGUGAUUUCAUGUUUAUGCUCAGGCUCGUUGGCUCGGCGAGCCAACUUUUUAGGCUCGCCAGAAAAGCGAGCCGGGCUUGGCUCGUUACUUGAUUCAGAAGUUGGAUUCAACUCGAGGGCCCUGCAGUGCUGUUGGGGACCAAGGUUCCACAACAGCUCUCCAAGUAUUCCUGUCCUGUGCCCAUGUCUUAAGUUCAGGGUUCCACUGACUUCUACCUUUAGCGAAGAUGACUCCUAUGGCUUGCUCUGUCUUCCCUAUGGGAGCAGACCUACCCUGUCCUAUGGCUUGCUCUGCCUUCCCUGUGGUGACCUCUGCUGUUCUUGCUAGGAGGAGUCAAAACUCUGCUUGCAGUUGUAGAGAUGAGAAUUCAUGAGAUGCAGGCACAUUAUUGGCUGCUUGAGAUUCUGGGCUGAUGCACAUCAGCAGAGGCUGGGCUAGCCGCUGAGGUGGGUGCCACUAGUAGAUUCCCAUGGGUAGCUGGCUGCUGCGUGGGCCAGUUUUUAGCAGAGCUCCAAGAGCAACUUCCAGACUGAAUCACUGAAUUCAUGAGAAGCUGUGCCAAACAGUUUUUUUUUUACUGUGAAGUGAUUAUUUGCUGAUUUAUUGAAGUGAUUUUCUGAAAUGAACCAGGAGACUGGGAAAACAAUUCUUGUGAUUCACUCCGCACACAGAAUUAUUAGUAAAUCAUGGAGAAUCAAAUAAUCACUUUUCACAAGAGAAUCAGGUUCCACAGAAAAUCUGGAGCGGGAGGGGCUCUACCAAACUGGCCCUUAAAUCACUUUCAUCUUCUCCAUCUCCAACUCCAAAGUGCAUAAGGAUAAGAACGUUGUGACAGUGUUCAGCGCGCCUAACUACUGCUACCGAUGCGGAAACAUGGCUGCCAUCCUCGAAAUUGGCGAGAACAUGGAUCAGAACUUCCUCCAAUUCGACCCAGCUCCGAGGCAAAUUGAGCCGGACAUGACGCGCAAGACACCAGACUACUUUUUGUAGUAAGCAUGUUGGCUUCUUUUAACUUCUCUACCGCAGCGUCUGCCGUCUGCCUGUAGAUCUUCAAAAAUGUGUUCCCUCUAGCCGCUCUGUAGCACCUCUCAUUCUUUGGUGUUGAGAUUUUUUUCUCCUCUUGUACCCCCAUUCUGUAUGAUUCUGAGAUAGCAGAGAAGAGAAGCUGCAAUAGAAUUGUCCCAAAAUA